rnacentral:misc_RNA from 1 species
AAGUAAAAGUCGUAACAAGGUUUCCGUAGGUGAACCUGCGGAAGGAUCAUUAUUGUACAACGGAGGUGUGAGGGCUGUCGCUGACCUUCAAAGGUCGUGCACGCCCAAGCACUUUCAUACAAUCCAUCUCACCCCUUUGUGCAUCACCGCGUGGGUCCCCCUUGCGGGAGGGCUCGCGUUUUCACAUAAAACUCGAUGCAGUGUAGAAUGUUCUUUUGCGAUCACACGCAAUCAAUACAACUUUCAACAACGGAUCUCUUGGCUCUCGCAUCGAUGAAGAACGCAGC